rnacentral:rRNA from 1 species
CAUGGCUCAGAUUGAACGCUGGCGGCAGGCCUAACACAUGCAAGUCGAACGGUAACAGGAAGCAGCUUGCUGCUUUGCUGACGAGUGGCGGACGGGUGAGUAAUGUCUGGGAAACUGCCUGAUGGAGGGGGAUAACUACUGGAAACGGUAGCUAAUACCGCAUAACGUCGCAAGACCAAAGAGGGGGACCUUAGGGCCUCUUGCCAUCGGAUGUGCCCAGAUGGGAUUAGCUAGUAGGUGGGGUAACGGCUCACCUAGGCGACGAUCCCUAGCUGGUCUGAGAGGAUGACCAGCCACACUGGAACUGAGACACGGUCCAGACUCCUACGGGAGGCAGCAGUGGGGAAUAUUGCACAAUGGGCGCAAGCCUGAUGCAGCCAUGCCGCGUGUAUGAAGAAGGCCUUCGGGUUGUAAAGUACUUUCAGCGGGGAGGAAGGGAGUAAAGUUAAUACCUUUGCUCAUUGACGUUACCCGCAGAAGAAGCACCGGCUAAUUCCGUGCCAGCAGCCGCGGUAAUACGGAGGGUGCAAGCGUUAAUCGGAAUUACUGGGCGUAAAGCGCACGCAGGCGGUUUGUUAAGUCAGAUGUGAAAUCCCCGGGCUCAACCUGGGAACUGCAUCUGAUACUGGCAAGCUUGAGUCUCGUAGAGGGGGGUAGAAUUCCAGGUGUAGCGGUGAAAUGCGUAGAGAUCUGGAGGAAUACCGGUGGCGAAGGCGGCCCCCUGGACGAAGACUGACGCUCAGGUGCGAAAGCGUGGGGAGCAAACAGGAUUAGAUACCCUGGUAGUCCACGCCGUAAACGAUGUCGACUUGGAGGUUGUGCCCUUGAGGCGUGGCUUCCGGAGCUAACGCGUUAAGUCGACCGCCUGGGGAGUACGGCCGCAAGGUUAAAACUCAAAUGAAUUGACGGGGGCCCGCACAAGCGGUGGAGCAUGUGGUUUAAUUCGAUGCAACGCGAGGAACCUUACCUGGUCUUGACAUCCACGGAAGUUUUCAGAGAUGAGAAUGUGCCUUCGGGAACCGUGAGACAGGUGCUGCAUGGCUGUCGUCAGCUCGUGUUGUGAAAUGUUGGGUUAAGUCCCGCAACGAGCGCAACCCUUAUCCUUUGUUGCCAGCGGUCCGGCCGGGAACUCAAAGGAGACUGCCAGUGAUAAACUGGAGGAAGGUGGGGAUGACGUCAAGUCAUCAUGGCCCUUACGACCAGGGCUACACACGUGCUACAAUGGCGCAUACAAAGAGAAGCGACCUCGCGAGAGCAAGCGGACCUCAUAAAGUGCGUCGUAGUCCGGAUUGGAGUCUGCAACUCAACUCCAUGAAGUCGGAAUCGCUAGUAAUCGUGGAUCAGAAUGCCACGGUGAAUACGUUCCCGGGCCUUGUACACACCGCCCGUCACACCAUGGGAGUGGGUUGCAAAAGAAGUAGGUAGCUUAACCUUCGGGAGGGCGCUUACCACUUUGUGAUUCAUGA